UCUUAGGUAGUAUAGUGAACAGUAUUUGCGCCUGUGAGGCCCCGAGACCGGGGUUUAAUUCCCCGCCUGAGAG
rnacentral:tRNA from 1 species